rnacentral:tRNA from 1 species
AAGGGAGACCUACCCGCUCUACAGUCGAAAGCAAUCCGCGAAUAGAUUGAGAGUUGGUCAUCCCAAGGUCGUUCGAGUUAUGAGUGUUAGCUUCUAAACUAUUUUGGUUCGGUUCAUGGGCUAUUAGCUCAGGUGGUUAGAGCGCACCCCUGAUAAGGGUGAGGUCCCUGGUUCGAAUCCAGGAUGGCCCACCUUAUUCCUUAGAGCCUAUUAAUCUAGCAAUAUAUUUAGUUGUUAGGUAGAUAGAGGAAGAGGAUAAAUCAAGGGGGUUUAGCUCAGUUGGUAGAGCGCCUGCUUUGCACGCAGGAAGUCAGCGGUUCGAAUCCGCUAACCUCCACUGAGAUUGAUAGAUAAGAGCCGAGAGAAUGGAGAUAGGAUUCAGCAAUUCAUCUUGAUAGAACAAGAGAGCCUGCUGGAUGAGAAUCCAGUUAGAACCUUGAAAACUGCAUAGUAACUUGUCAGGUAGUAAGACAAUGACGACUAACGAGAGUUUAAUAACUUUGUAGUUAGAAGCGAGUUGUCACUAUCACAGACACCAAUGUAAGCGAGACUCUAGGAAGUUAGCGAAAGCUAAAGACUAGAAGUUAAAAGU